rnacentral:rRNA from 1 species
UGGGCCGCAGACUCCUCCUUCGGCGACUGGCCUUACGGUCCCAGUCUUUGCCCAAGCUCGGCAAACCAAGCUCGGCUUUACGCGGUAUUAGCGCUCCUUUCGGAACGUUAUCCCCCUCCAAAGGGCAGAUUAUCUACGUGUUACGCACCCGUGCGCCACUGAGUAUUGCUACUCCGUGCGACUUGCAUGUGUUAGGCGCGCCGCUAACGUUCGCUCUGAGCCAGGAUCAAACUCUAAUCUAGAUGCAUCGCGAGUCAUGC